rnacentral:rRNA from 1 species
CCUACGGGUGGCUGCAGUGAGGGAUAUUGGUCAAUGGGGGAAACACUGAACCAGCAACGCAGCGUGCGGGAUGACGGUUCUCGGAUUUUAAAACUCUGUCUACUGUGAAGAUAAUGACGGUAGCAGAGGAGGAAGCUCCGGCUAACUACGUGCCAGCCGCCGCGGUAAUACGUAGGGAGCGGGCGUUGUCCGGAUGUACUGGGUUUAAAGGGUGCGUAGGCGGGUAAGCAAGUCAGAAGUGAAAUCCAUGGGCUUAACCCAUGAACUGCUUUUGAAACUGUUUAUCUUGAGUGAAGUCGAGGUAGGCGGAAUUCGUGGUGUAGCGGUGAAAUGCGUAGAGAUCGCGAGGAACACCAGUGGCGAAGGCGGCCUACUGGGCUUUAACUGACGCUGAAGCACGAAAGCGUGGGUAGCGAACAGGAUUAGAUACCCCAGUAGUC